UACGUAGGGGGCAAGCGUUGUCCGGAUUUAUUGGGCGUAAAGAGCUCGUAGGCGGCUUGGCAAGUCGGGUGUGAAAACUCCAGGCUCAACCUGGAGAUGCCACUCGAGACUGCUAUGGCUAGAGUCCGGUAGGGGACCACGGAAUUCCUGGUGUAGCGGUGAAAUGCGCAGAUAUCAGGAGGAACACCGGUGGCGAAGGCAGCCCCCUGGGUCAACACUGACGCCUCAUGCACGAAAGCGUGGGGAGCAAACAGG
rnacentral:rRNA from 1 species